GCCGCCUACCUGCUGAGGCGGCCGCGGGAAGGCGCCUGCUUCCAGUCCCGAUUCGCGCUUUCGCACAGGAACUCGGCUCGGUGCCGAAUAGCACCCCGCGACGCUUCCGGUCGACGUCGACGUUACCGCCGGGUCGUCGUCGUCGUCGCUGCCGCCACUGGUGCAGUUGAUGGUCGGCUGCUGAAUAAAGAUGCAGUUUGAAAGAGGAGAAGAUGCUGGCCAGCCCCAAAGGGUCUUCACGUGGCAGGGAGCCAGCGGCGCUUCAAAACUACCCUCCUGUCUACUGACCUGGGUGAACUGAUCCGAUUGCACGACGAUCGACGCGUGCACGUAACCGCUCUGUCUUCACGUCGCCGUGCGGCGAGUCUGGGGCCUUACCGCCCUACCAAACCACGUUAACGGCAUUAACUUCGUUAAGGUUGGCAGAAAAUUUCCGCAAAAAUAACGUUUAAAUAAAGCACUUUGCAGUAUCGCCUGUAGUGAAAUUCAAUAAAUGGGUUGCGACUGCCCUUCUUAAUCUGACAAGGAUGCGGUUUCCUCCAAUACGACGUCCUAAAGCCAUUAGUCAUCGAAACUGGUUGCUUAUAAGC